UGCAUGUCUAAGUAUAAGCAAUUGUACGGUGAAACUGCGAAUGGCUCAUUAAAUCAGUUAUCGUUUAUUUGAUAGUACCUUACUACUUGGAUAUCCGUGGUAAUUCUAGAGCUAAUACAUGCUUACAGCCCCGACUUCUGGAAGGGGCGAGUUUAUUAGAUAAAAAGCCGACGUUGUUGGUGAUUCAUGAUAACCUUUCGAAUCGCGAGUAAUCGCGAUGGUUCAUUCAAAUUUCUGCCCUAUCAAUUGAACCGUAGGGUAGUGGCCUACGGUGAUUUCUACGGGUAACGGGGAAUAAGGGUUCGAUUCCGGAGAGGGAGCCUGAGAAACGGCUACCACAUCCAAGGAAGGCAGCAGGCGCGCAAAUUACCCAAUCCCGACACGGGGAGGUAGUGACAAUAAAUAACGAUGCGGGGCACGUAUGUGUUUCGCAAUUGGAAUGAGUACAAUGUAAAUACCUUAACGAGGAACAAUUGGAGGGCAAGCCUGGUGCCAGCAGCCGCGGUAAUUCCAGCUCCAAAAGCGUAUAUUAAAGUUGUUGCAGUUAAAAAGCUCGUAGUUGAUUUUCGACGCAUCUGAGGGGUCCACUUCGGUGCGUACUCUGAGGGUGCGUUUUCUCUGGGGCGCCUUGCGGCAAGCCAGACUGUUACUUUGAAAAAAUUAGAGUGUUCAAAGCGGGCGAUAGCUUGAAUAUAUUAGCAUGGAAUAAUAGAAUAGGACGGAUGGAUCUAUUUUGUUGGUUUCUAGAACCAUCGUAAUGAUUAAUGGGCAUCGGCGGGGGCAUCGGUAUUCAAAUGUCAG
rnacentral:rRNA from 1 species